rnacentral:lncRNA from 1 species
UGGGUUCAGGAUUGGUGCAUUUCCAGUUGUAUGAAGAAUACUUUUAUUAUUAUCUUAGGCACAAUUAUGACCUUAUUAUUAUCUUUAUUUGAAGAUUAUGUAUAAUUUCAGAAGAUGUGUAUGGGUUAAAGUUGACAAGGGGUGAACUUGUGAUGGUUAAUAUUGACUGUCAACUCUAUUGGACUGAAGGAUGCAAAGUAUUGUUCCUGGGUGUGUAUGUGAGGGUGUUGCCAAAGGAGAUUAACAUUUGAGUCAGGGGGCUGGGAAAGGCAGACCCGCCCUUAAACUAGGUGGGCACAAUCUAAUCAGCUGCCAGUGUGGCAAAAAUAAAAAUGAGGCAGAGGAACAUAAAGAGGUGAGACUGGCUUAGCCUCCGAGCCUACAUCUUUCUCCCAUGCUGGAUGGUUCCUGCCCUAGAACAUCGGACUCCAAGUUCUUCAGGUUUGGGACUCAGAAUGGCUUCCUUGCUCCUCAGCUUGCAGACAGCCUAUUGUGGAACCUUGUGAUCCUGUGAGUUAAUACCCCUUAAGAAACUCCCUUAUAUAUAUACAUCUAUCCUAACAGUUCUGCUCCUUUAGAGAACUGUGACUAAUACGAAGGGUGACAAUAGAGGAAUUUAUAUGCUAGACUUUUAUACUUUACCUCAAUUUUCAUUACCUUUUGAAGAAAAAAUGUUUCACAUAAUAAUCACAUAACAAUAAUUUAUUCAAAUUUAUUAAGGCAGGAGCUGGGCCUAAAGAGGGUGCUGAGAGGCAGGAGCUGGGCCUGGAGAGGUCAACUGAAGGAAAUUUUUGGCCUAAGGAGGCUGCCAGGAAGCAGGAGCUGGGCAAAAACAGGUUGUUGUUAGGCAGGAUUUGGGCUCAUAGAGGCAGCCAGGAGGCAGGAACUGGAUCUUUAUAAAAGGGGCAACGUAAGGCAGGAGCAGGGCCUGCAGAGUCUACCAGGAAGCAGGACCAGGGCACAAGAGGCUGACAUGAGGCAGAAAGUUGCCCUUGGGAGGCCACUGUGAGGCAGGACUCUUGAAAGGACGCAAAGCUGGGCCUGUAGUGGCUGCUAAAAGGCAGGAACGUGGUCUGGAAGGCCCUGGUGAGGAAAGAGUUGGGCCAAAAGAGGCCACUAGGAGGCAGGAGCUGGGCCUCAGGAGGCUGCCAUAAAACAGGAGCUGGGACUCGGAAGGCAGACAUGAAGCAAAAGCUGGCCUUUGGAAGGCUGAUGAAAGGGAGAAGCCGGGCCUGGUGAGGUUGACUUGAGAAAGUUUGGGGCCUGGAGAGAUCCAUGGGAGGCAGGAGCCAAACUUGUAGACGCUACUGGAAGGCAGGAGGUGGGCCUGGUGAGGUAAACAUGAGGAAGUUCUAGGCCUGGAGAGACAAGUCGGAGAAAGGAGCUGGGGGUAAAGAGGCUGUUGUAAGGCUUGAGAUAGGCCUGCAGAGGCGGCCUGGAGGCAGGAGCUGGGCCUGGAGAUGCCAAAUUGAGGAAGUUUUAGGCCUGCAGAGGCCGUGAAGAGAAAGGAGCUAAGCCUGGAGAGACCGAUGAAAGGCAGAAGCUGGGGCUAGAGAGGCCAUUGGCAGGCAAAAGCUGGGGCUAGAGAGGCCAUUGGCAGGCAAAAGCUCGGCCUCUGGAGGCCGCAAGGAGACAGGAGCCGGGCCUGGUGAGGUUGACUUAAGGAUGUUUUGGUCCUGGAGAGGCCGGGCCUAAAGAGGCUGUUGAAAGGAUGAUGCCAGGCCUGUAGAGGCCAACAGAAGGCAGGAGCUGGGCCUGAGAAGCCCAAAUUAAGAAAGUUUUAGGCCUGUAAGUUCCCUAAAGAGGCAGGAGCUAGGCAUGCAUGGAGAGGCUGCUGUGAGGCAGAAGCUGGGCCACUAGAGGUUGCCAAGAGGCAGGAGAAUGGCUUGAAGAUGUAGCAGUGAAAAUGAGCUGAGUCUAAAGAGGUCAUUGUUAGGCAGAAGCUGAGAUCCUAGAGGACACUCAGAGGUACAAGUUGGGCCUGGAGAGGUCGACUGGAAAAAAUUAUUGACUUAAAAAGAGCACCAAGGCAGUAGCUGGGCCUGGAGUGGACACAGGAAGGCAGAAGGUGGGACCUGGGAGGCCGCCAUUAAACAGGAGCUGAGUUUAUGAGGCAAAAGCUGGGCCUUAAAAGGCUGACCAGAUGCAGAAGCUAGGCCUGGUGACGAUGACGUGAGAAAGUUCUGGGCCUGAAGGGACAAUGCAAACGCAAGAGCUGGGCCUAAAUAAGCCAUUCGAAAAAUGGAGUUCGGCCUCAAGAAACUGCAGAAAAGCAAAAGCUGGGCUUGGAGAUGCUGCAACGAGGCAGGCACAAAAAUGGUCUAGCAACUGGAAACAGCUCUGGGCCUGGAGAGGAUGCCGGGAGGCGAGAGCCGGGUCUGGAGAGAGGCCGCCCACAGGCAGGAGCUGGGCCUGAGGCGGCCAAGCCGAGGCACGAGCUGGGCCCGGAGGGGCCACUGUGGGGCAGAGGCCGUGCCCCCAGGGGCCUACGCCAGGCAGGAGCUGGGCCUGGCGAGGCCGCUGUCAGGCAGGAGCUGGGCCUCUCCAGGCCGCCAGGGAGCUGAAGGCAGGGCCUGGAAGGCCUGACUUAGAGGAGCCUGGGGCCUACAAAUGCUGCCAUGAGCUGGGCAGGAGUUGGGCCGAACGUGCCUGUUGCGAGGCAGGAGCUGGGCCGGCAGCCACAGCCGGGAGGGAGAGCUGGGCCUGGAGAGGCCGGCUGGAAACAGUUCUGGACCUGGAGAGGAUGGCGAGAGGCAAGAGCUGGGCCUGUGGAGGCUGCCAACAGGCAAGGCAGGAGCUUGGCCUGAGGUGGCCAUGCUGAAGCAAGAGCUGGGUCUGGGGGGGUCCACUGUGAGGAGGCAGAGGCCAUGCCUCUAGGCGCCUACGACAGGCAGGAGCUGGGCCUGGCGAGGCCGACUUCAGGACGCUUUGGGCCCACACGGGCCAUCGGCGGGAGGCAGGAACUUGGCCUGGAAGGGCCAUCUUGAGAACGCCUUGAGCCGCGAGACGCUGUUGGGGUGGGCGGGAGCUGGGCCUGGAGACGCCACUGUGACGCCUGAGCUGGGCCUAGAGAGGCCAGUGUGAGGCGGGAGCUGGGCUUGUUGAGGCUACCGCGAGGCCGGCUAGAAAAUGGCCGGGGAAGGCCGCUGUGAGGCAAAAGCUGGGCCUGGGAAGGCCGCUGUGAGGGGAGACUGGGUAUGGAGUGCUGGACUGGAAGAGAUUUCAGGCCUACAAAGGCUGCCAGGAGCUGGGUAGGAGCCGAGUCAAAAGAGGCUCUUUGGAGGCAGGAGCUGGGCCUGUAGACACAGCUGCGAGAGAGGACUGGGACUGGAGAAGAGGCCGGGAGGCAGCAACUGCGGUGGGGGAGGCCGACUUGAGGAAUUUCUCGGCCUGGAGAGGCCACCAAAAGGGAAAAGCUGGGCCUAAGGUGGCCGUUGUGAGAAAUGAGCUGGGCCUAAAGAGGCCAUCAGGAUGAUCAGGACGCAGAGCUCGGCCUCUGCUGCAGAGGCUGCUGAAACGCAGCAGCUUGGUUUGGCGAGGCCACGGUGAAGCAUGAGAUGAGCCUAAAGAGGUCACUGGAAGGCAGUAGCUGGACCUGUCAGGACAUGACGCUCAGGUGGUUAUGCGAGCGAUGGGGAGGGGCUAUAAAUACAAACGAAUUUUCCCCUCACUUUGCUGCUCACCACCAGCUCUGUGGCCCUGUGGUGGAGACCCCUGCUCAGGUGCAUUUGAAAGGUUCCGUCCCAUGCCAUUCUUCAGAGUCAUCUUUAUUGCCACAGUGGUGAAGCAUAGCAUCCGUUAACUCGCAUGGCAUAUGCCUUGGCUAGCAUUUCAUCACAAUAAACAGUAAGUGGUAGCUUCACUCAUUGUGAGGACACUUCCUGGAAAUCACCAGCAUCCCAUGUCCCAUUGGCAAGAAACUCAGCACUGCUCCUUGGAUAACCAAACCAAGGCUGAAAUCCCAUGUAUAUGUGUCUAUCUCCUGGUACUCUUCCUAGCAUCAAUUCUGUAUUUCUAGGAGUCCAAUCAAAACAUAUAAACCGCUCAAAAGUUUAAACUGGAAUGCGCACGGUGGCUCAAACCUGUAAUCCCAGCGCUUUGGGAGGCCAAGGCGGGUGGAUUACUUUGAGCUCAGGAGUUGAGACCAGCCUGGGAAACACGGCAAAACCCUGUCUCUACAAAAAGCACAAAAAAAGCACAAAAAUUAGCCAGGCAUGCUGGCACAUACCUGUAAUCCCAGUUACUUGGGAGGCUGAGGAUGGAGAAUUGCUUGAGCCUUCGAAGUGGAGGUUGCUGUGAGCAGAGAUCAUGCCUCUGCACUCCAGCCUUGGUGACAGACUGAGACCCAAUACCAAAAAAAAAAAAAGUAACUUUAAUAUAAAAAAUAUUAAUUAUAACAGAGGAUCAGCAUAAUGAGUGACACACUAGCACUAACUACAGACAAUUCUAGAGAAUACAAAACUAGCAGAGGCCAGGCAUGGUGGCUCAUGCCUGUAAUCCCAGCAAUUUGGGAAGCCUAGGUAGAAGGACUGCUUGAGGCCAAAAGUUGGAGACCAGGCUGGGCAACUUAGUGAGACACUGUGUCUACCAAAAAAAAAAAAAAAUUAGCCAGGUAUGGUGGUGGUGCACAACUGUAGUUCCAGCUACUUGGGAGUCUGGGGUCGGAAGAUCCCUUGAACCUGGGAAGUCUAGGCUGUAGUGAACCAAGAUCAUGCCAGUACACUCUCGCCUGAGCAGCAGAGUGAGACCCUGUCUUAGGGAAGGGGAGGGGAAGGGAGGAGAGGGGAGGGGAGAGGAGGGGAGAGGAAUGCUAAUCCCCCUAUAAGAAUCUCCUCUUCUCCUGCCCUCUCUGGAACCUCACUUGUCAGUUCUUCCUCCCACUUCCCUGUAUGUUUAACCUGUCCCCUGCUUUUAGCUCCUUCCCACCAGCAUUUAAAUUACUCAAACUUCUGCUAUUUUAAAAAACUCUCCCUAAACUCAGUGUGUUCCCUGCUUUAGGUCUCCAGCACACCCACUGAGCCAUCUGCUCCCCCUGGUGCCUUCUCCACACAGCAGCGUGAGCCAUGUCUCUCAUACGUGAAUCUCAUCACAUUACUCCCCUGUUUACAUCACUUCUCCUUGCCUUUGGGAUUAAGUCCAAACUCCUUAACAGGCCCUGCUCUGCCCUGUCUUGCAAGGCAGCCUCACUGCUUGCCCCUCUCCAUUUUACCUGCUGUGGAGUCCAACUGAGCCUCAUCUGUCCCUUGAAUGCCCACUCUCUCUCUCUGCGAGCCUGCGAAGUGGGUGAUGCCCUCUGCUUAGAAUACGCUUCCCCUUAUCUACUCUCUUCCUGGCUAGCUUCAGCUCCUCUGUCACUUGUCCGCUUUAGCACCACCUCCUCCAGGAAGUCUUCCUUGACUCCCUAGAUUCUCAGGAGCAUGGGAAGCGAGGUGCUCCUCCCAUAAAUGAAUGGAGAUUAGGGAGUGUGUGUUAUUCAUGUUUAAUUCACCAGUGCUUACCUCAGUACCUGGCACAAAAUAGUCAUGGUGGUGGCCAAAGUAUCACAGUGGUGGCCAAAGUAAUGACCCCCCAACUGCUCAUGUCCUAUGUUACACCGCAUAAUUACAUAGGAAGGGGGAAUUAAGAGUACAGAUGGAAUUAAUGUUGCUAAUCAGCUGACCUUAAAACAAGAUUAUCCUGCAGUAUCUGGGUGAGCCCAUGUAAUUACAAGGGUUCUUUAAAUGUGGAAGAGGGAGGCAGAAGGUUAAGAACCAGAGACAUUGGGCAUAAUGGCUCAUGCCUGCAUUACCAGUACUUUGGGAGGCCAACACAGGAAAAUCCCUUGAGUGCAGGAGUUCAAGGCCAGCCUUGGCAACAUAGCAAGGCCCAUCUCUACAAAAAAAAAAAAAAAAGUCAAAAUUCACCGAGUGUCAUGGCACCAACCUGUAGUCCCAGCUACUGGGAAGGAUGAAGUGGGAGGAUUGCUUGAGCCUGGAAAUCUGAGGUUACAAUGAGCCAUGAUUGGACUACUGAACUCCAUCCUGGGUGACAGAGCAAGGUCCUGCUUCUAA